UGUAUCUGAAGCCUGACGAGGAUGAGAACCUCCGGGGGCAAGAGAGUUCGACCCGAGCGAAGCGAGAGAACGUUGCGUCAGCAACGGCCCGCAGGGCGAGCCAUCCUCUAUCACCGGCAG
rnacentral:sRNA from 1 species